rnacentral:pre_miRNA from 1 species
AGCGUUUUGAAUCCGUGCUGAGAUUUCGUCAGACACCAACCCAUUAGGUUUGACCAGACUUCCAAGAUAAGUGAAGUU